ensembl:lncRNA novel transcript, antisense to ABCA12
ACAGAACUUUGAUCUAUUAGGAGGAACAGAUAUCAAACAAGCCAAUGAACCAAAGGCUGGGGCAUAUGAGAAGGAACACCCACUUUAUGCAUAGCUCCC